rnacentral:tRNA from 1 species
GAGGGUAUAGCUCAGUGGUAGAGUGCCUGCUUAGCAUGCAUGAGGUCCUGGGUUCAAUCCCCAGUACCGCCA